rnacentral:pre_miRNA from 1 species
UAGCCUCUGCAGGCUUUCUGGUCCGCAGGCGGGCCUGGGCGAGUAUCUCUUCAAGAGGCUCACCCUCAAGCAUGACUAGGAAC